CCUGCGGCUGAGCACGCUGCAUCAUCAGCACAGCCUCUUCACAACCUCUGAUCCCCAAAUGGUGCCUUGGUCCCCCAGCCAGGCCAUGAAACCAGGAGGCGACCAGCUAAGGUGAGCCUGUUUUUAACUAAAGUAUAGAAUAGCUGGCUACUGUGUGGAGGAAACCGGAAGUAUCUCACGUGCCAUGGGUUAAAACAAGAUAAGGUGUGACUCAAAUGCAUUAGAACUGUCUUUGGCUUUGGAUACAAUCCUUUAUGUGGGGUUGAAGUGUUCUGCAUGGCCUCUGUUAAGCACCCCCUCGGAACAAGUGUGGCUGCGUUGGUGAGGAGUGCAUUUAAUCACAGCUGUCAAUGGAUGAUCAGCUGAAGAUGGUGCUGGAGCCUCCAGCCAGCAACACCCAGGACUGUGCUGAGGUCUUGUCCUUACUGAGGUCAGUGUCUCCUGCACUGGGCUCGGGUGAGUUCAAUGGAAACACUCCUGUUUGACUUGGGAACGUGUUGUUUUCUCCAUUGAAGCAGAAAUCCUGUUUCUUCUAGGGCACAUGACUCAGCUGUGAUCAGGCAGCAUCACCUCCCGUGGGCUCAUUCCCCAUUCCCACUGCUGACUGCAGCCACCUGGAUAGCACAGUCACUUCCCAGGCGGCUCAACACUACAGAUGCAAAUGGAAAGCACUGUUUUAACAGGCAGAGUAUUUUUAAGGAAUCCAGGCUCUGGCUUUUCUCCACCUAUUGCCCAUUCCAAGGCAUUCCUGAAGUACCCUGUGGGCUGACAGGUACGGCUUUGGGGCGACCCGAGAACAGCCUGAUCAUAUUGAGUGAAUAUCUCUCCGAUAAACAGGGCUUUUAUUCAUCCCAGAUUUUCGGGAUCCAUUGCAUGGGAUGGAUUUCCUCACCUAGGAAGGGUUUAGAGGUCAGCAAGAGGUUUCCUUGUGCUCUGGUUGCUCCAGGAGCUGUGGCACAGUGGCUCUGGGGUUAUCACCAGCACAGGCAGCCUGCAAGGGCUGCGUUCCUCCAGAGGGAUGCCAGUGCAAGGCACGGCUCAAAUUCCUUGGACUGCGGAUCCUCUUAGAAGGUCUUAAUAAAUGAUUAGGCCAAGAGUAUGAUAAAUAUGUAAUAGAUCAUUUUGUGCGUGUCAGCGGAAUGCUUUGGCUUGCUUCUAGUCAGUGUUUGUGGCAAGGUGAUUUUAUCUCAGGCAAUAUGAUUAAAUGAAAUAGUUAUGUGCCAGGUUUUACCCUGUGUAAGUGGAAUAUGUGGUAUAAGGUGUGACCAAAGCUGUAGGAAUUAAUCUAACUAAUGCCUGCUGUCAUCAUCAGCCCGAACCGUUCUAUGACAAGAGGUUGGUCAGGCUCGAUUUGACCAUUUUAUGCCAUCCCAGCCCUGGUUUAGCUCCCGUCUCAUGUUCCUGCAGGGCUUCAAAGCCAUGUGUGACCCGUAUGUGGCUGUGAGGCUGUGGCACCCCAGGUGCCGCUUCAAGCUGGGACAUCCAGCGCAGCGUCCCAGCAAACUGGUGGCAUCCAUGGGGAGACGGGAAAGCAAAGUGAAGAUCCACUUUCUAAUUACCUUCUAGCCUCUCCUGCCCACAGCCUCCUGCAGUCUGCUCAUUAACUUAAUGACAGUCCCAGCUCCAGCACUCAAUCCAGCCCCAGAGCAGGAGCCUUGCCAGGAAGGUCUUGCCUCCUGUGUCCUGUCUGGGUUUAGAGCAAGCCCAUGGACACGUACAUGAGCAGCACAGGCUGCAGCAGCAAAUCCCAUUGCCUCAUGUGGGGGAUUUAAGUGCUAACUCCCAGUGCACAGUGCAAGCCAAAUGUGUGGGACCUGCUCUAUGGAAAGAACACACUGGAUGGAGAAUGGCAAAAGCUCAGCCAAGGAUGGGCUGGAGGAUGAAUUGGACCCAGGGGACACGUUUGGGCUUUGCAGUAGAGGCAGUUGCCUGAUUAUCGUCUUCAUUUUAAGACACCACUCGCAGUGUUCACUGCUGAAGCCAGUCUGUCCAGUAUGGGUGGAUGCUUCCACUGGAGCACACUCCGUGCAGGAGCUGCAGCUCUUCCCAGAUACCAGGGCCUGAGCAAGGACCAUGGGCCCUGGGUUGUGCUUCCAGGGCAGAGCUGUGGCCAUGACCACUUUUACAAGUGCCCUUUCCUCCUUGCAGGCUCAAGCUGAGACAAAUAUAAAGCAUCAUCCCUCCUGUGCUCCACUGCAGUGCUGCCUCCCAGCAUCUUGCUUGUGUGGACCACUGGGCUGGCUGGAAGCAGCCACUAAUAUGUGCCAUGAGUGACACCAUCCUCAUGGUCUCACCUCUGGCACGCAAGGAGGAUGAGGACCCAGGAAUGAUGCACAGGGUGCACGGCUGGCGAAAAUACCUUCCAGUGUCAGACUGCAGUGCAGAGGAGCACGCAAGGAGAGCUUCAGAUGAAAGAUCAGAGCAAGGCGAGCUCAAAGCUGAAUGUGGCGUUUCCCAGCUUGGAUCCUGACCCCUCCCUUUUGUCUUGGACAUCCCUGAGACCACCCAGCUCAAACGCUGUCCCUGCAUGCCCAGAACAGCCGGGGAGCUGUGGCUGCAGGAGGAGGAGGAGAAGGAAGAGGCGAUGCCCAGCGCUCGGGCAGGAAAAGGUCAGAGGGAGCAGAGGUUGGCUGCGCACGAUUGCUUCUCAUGAGAUCUGAACUUACAGAAGCUCACGCAAGUCAAAAGAUAUGUUUCAGUAGGAGCAGGGUGUCUGGCUGGAAUGGGCCCCAGGAAGUUGUUUUGGUUUUUAAAUAAAUAGCUGUAUCUUGCAUCAAAAAUGAACCAUUUUGCAUCAGAAAUGAACCGUUUCCUAGUGCUGUGUCACUUCAACAGAUUCCCUGUUUUUUAAUGCUCCAAAUACCGUGUUUUGCGAUUUAAGAUGUAUUUUAUAUUUCAAUUCUCAUCCUGAUCCAGGUUUCUUGGGUUAAUUUGCAGUAAUUCUGAGGUCACAAUUUGAACGGAUGUUCGGUUCCGGGCUCCCUCCUCUCUCAGGGGGCUGCAGCCUCUUGCGGGGUUCGGGGGGGGCUGAACCCCUGCCUCAUCCCCGCCCCCCCAGCCCACCCCCAUCCCCGGGGG